rnacentral:rRNA from 1 species
CCAGACUCCUACGGGAGGCAGCAGUGGGGAAUAUUGCACAAUGGGGGAAACCCUGAUGCAGCGACGCCGCGUGAGUGAAGAAGUAUUUCGGUAUGUAAAGCUCUAUCAGCAGGGAAGAAAAUGACGGUACCUGAUUAAGAAGCCCCGGCUAACUACGUGCCAGCAGCCGCGGUAAUACGUAGGGGGCAAGCGUUAUCCGGAUUUACUGGGUGUAAAGGGAGCGUAGACGGUGAUGCAAGUCAGAAGUGAAAGCCCGGGGCUCAACUCCGGGACUGCUUUUGAAACUGUGUGACUGGAGUGCAGGAGAGGUAAGCGGAAUUCCUGGUGUAGCGGUGAAAUGCGUAGAUAUUAGGAGGAACACCAGUGGCGAAGGCGGUCUGCUGGACAGCAACUGACGGUGAGGCGCGAAAGCGUGGGGAGCAAACAGGAUUAGAUACCCCCGUAA